GACGAACGCUGGCGGCGUGCUUAACACAUGCAAGUCGAACGGGCCUGUCUUCUUUUUUGGGGGUGGGUUGAGUGGCGAACGGGUGAGUAUCACGUGAGUAACCUGCCCUUCGGUCCUGGAUAACCGCUUGAAAGGGCGGCUAAUACGGGGUGGUCCGGUUGGUCCGCAUGGGCUGGUCGGGAUAGAUUCACUGUUUUUGGUGUUUCGGCGGGGGAUGGGCUCGCGGCCUAUCAGCUUGUGGGUGGGGUGAUGGCCUACCAAGGCGGUGACGGGUAGCCGGGCGGAGAGGGUGGGCGGCCACACUGGGACUGAGAUACGGCCCAGACUCCUGCGGGAGGCAGCAGUGGGGGGUAUUGCACAAUGGGCGGAAGCCUGAUGCAGCGACGUCGCGUGAGGGAUGGAGGCCUUCGGGUUGUGAACCUCUGUUUCCGGUGGUGAAGGCCCUGUCCGUGUGGUGGGGUUGACGGUAGCCGGGGAUGAAGCGCCGGCUAACUACGUG
rnacentral:rRNA from 1 species